UUUGACAUGCUUGAUUGCUGCAAGUGGGGCGAGAGAAUUAAAAGUGAGGUCCAAGGCUCAUAAAGCUGUUUACAAUCACACUCUUGCCACAAUAUUGGUGGAGUUUACAUGUCAGAUUUGACAGAUCUUUUUAGUUGGACAUUGCCUAGAUUUUAUGGAAAAACCAAGGUAAUUUGACUCCCUUUUAAUAUAGCAUUGUUGCUUAGGUUGCGUGAAGAAUGGAUCUUUAGUACUAAAUACCCAAUUCUUAAGAUGAGAUUUCUUGGGCAUAUGCAGCCUCAUCUUAUGAGCUUCCGAACUGGUUUUUAAUGCCUUUUUGAU